UGGGGAAUAUUGCACAAUGGGCGCAAGCCUGAUGCAGCAACGCCGCGUGAACGAUGAAGGUCUUCGGAUCGUAAAGUUCUGUUGCAGGGGAAGAUAAUGACGGUACCCUGUGAGGAAGCCCCGGCUAACUACGUGCCAGCAGCCGCGGUAAUACGUAGGGGGCUAGCGUUAUCCGGAUUUACUGGGCGUAAAGGGUGCGUAGGUGGUCUUUCAAGUCGGUGGUUAAAGGCUACGGCUCAACCGUAGUUAGCCUCCGAAACUGGAAGACUUGAGUGCAGGAGAGGAAAGUGGAAUUCCCAGUGUAGCUGUGAAAUGCGUAGAUAUUGGGAGGAACACCAGUAGCGAAGGCGGCUUUCUGGACUGCAACUGACACUGAGGCACGAAAGCGUGGGUAGCAAACAGG
rnacentral:rRNA from 1 species